UAAAACUCAAAGGAAUUGACGGGGGCCCGCACAAGCGGCGGAGCAUGCGGAUUAAUUCGAUGCAACGCGAAGAACCUUACCAAGGCUUGACAUGUUCUCGAUCGCCGUAGAGAUACGGUUUCCCCUUUGGGGCGGGUUCACAGGUGGUGCAUGGUUGUCGUCAGCUCGUGUCGUGAGAUGUUGGGUUAAGUCCCGCAACGAGCGCAACCCUCGUUCCAUGUUGCCAGCACGUAAUGGUGGGGACUCAUGGGAGACUGCCGGGGUCAACUCGGAGGAAGGUGAGGACGACGUCAAAUCAUCAUGCCCCUUAUGUCUUGGGCUUCACGCAUGCUACAAUGGCCGGUACAAUGGGUUGCGAUACUGUGAGGUGGAGCUAAUCCCAAAAAGCCGGUCUCAGUUCGGAUUGGGGUCUGCAACUCGACCCCAUGAAGUCGGAGUCGCUAGUAAUCGCAGAUCAGCAACGCUGCGGUGAAUACGUUCCCGGGCCUUGUACACACCGCCCGUCAAGUCACGAAAGUUGGUAACACCCGAAGCCGGUGGCCUAACCCUUGUGGGGGGAGCCGUCGAAGGUGGGACCAGCGAUUGGGACUU
rnacentral:rRNA from 1 species